UGGGGAAUAUUGAACAAUGGGCGAAAGCCUGAUCCAGCCAUGCCGCGUGUGUGAAGAAGGUCUUCGGAUUGUAAAGCACUUUAAGUUGGGAGGAAGGGCAGUAAAUUAAUACUUUGCUGUUUUGACGUUACCGACAGAAUAAGCACCGGCUAACUCUGUGCCAGCAGCCGCGGUAAUACAGAGGGUGCAAGCGUUAAUCGGAAUUACUGGGCGUAAAGCGCGCGUAGGUGGUUCGUUAAGUUGGAUGUGAAAUCCCCGGGCUCAACCUGGGAACUGCAUUCAAAACUGACGAGCUAGAGUAUGGUAGAGGGUGGUGGAAUUUCCUGUGUAGCGGUGAAAUGCGUAGAUAUAGGAAGGAACACCAGUGGCGAAGGCGACCACCUGGACUGAUACUGACACUGAGGUGCGAAAGCGUGGGGAGCAAACAGGAUUAGAUACCCCAGUAGUCCCUGAGCGGGCUGGCAAGGCGCAU
rnacentral:rRNA from 1 species